GCGAUUCUCGUUGCUAUUGCUUUUGGACGUUUAUGAGCGAAUAACGUCUCGUGACCUUGCUAUUUACUUAAGCAUGUACGAUUAAGCGAGGAAUUCGGCCACAUAAAACUCCAUUCUUCUUAGGAAAAGAAAUAUAUCGGAACUUGAGAAGCAUAUAUUACAUUGAUCAAACGUAACUAUUAGAAAUUUAAUUAAGACACGAGAGGAUGAGUUUCAAAAUAAAAUUGUUAUUCGUACUUGUUAGCUUCAGCAUGUUUAGCAUUGUAUACUCACGUGCUAGAAUAGCGAGAGACAUUAAAGAUGAUAUAAUGGACAAUGAAGACUUUCCUAGAAGACCUGCUUUUUGUAAUAAACAUUAUAACUUUGGUUAUUGCGUCAUGCCUUGCGCAAUGCAGUUGAGAUAUUGGUUUAAUAAGGAUGUAGGAACAUGUGAAACCUUUAGAUACGGUGGUUAUAAAGGAAAUGGAAAUAAUUUUAGAACUUUUAAUGACUGCUUGGAAACAUGCAGUUAAAAUACAUAAUUUUAGUUACAUUACAGAUAUAAAAUAUUUGAAAAUUUCCCAUAUAUUGAUACGUAUUUGUAAUAGUCUGAUAUUGAGUUUAAAUGGAAAUACUAAAUAAAAGACUCUGUAAAAUCUUUAUAAAAUACUCGCAAAAGUGUUUUAUUUUUAUAAUAAAUGACU